rnacentral:rRNA from 1 species
GACGAACGCUGGCGGCGUGCUUAACACAUGCAAGUCGAACGGAAAGGCCCGGCUUUCCUUGUGUGCUCGGGGGACGAACGUGUGAGUAACACGUGUGUAACCUGCCCGUUCCUCUCGGAUCUCUUCAGGAAACUGGGGCUACUACCGGUUAUUCGCUCCUGCUCCGUAGUGGGGGUUGUAUAGUUUGGGCGGAUGGGGAUGUACUCGCGGCUUAUCGGCGUGUUGGUGGGCUAGUGGCUUACCAAGUCUGUGACGGGUAGCCGGCCUGAGAGGGUGAACGGCCACAUGGGGACUGCGAGACGGCCCAGAAGCAGACGGGAGGAAGGAGUGGGGAACAUUGCACAAUGGGAGGGAGGCUGAGGGGGCAACGCCGGGUGCGGGAUGAUGGACUUCGGGUGGUAAACCGCUUUCGCCUGUGAUGAAGCGUGAGUGACGGUAAUGGGUAAAGAAGCACCGGCUAACUACGUG